rnacentral:rRNA from 1 species
CCCUUAGAUGUUCUGGGCCGCACGCGCGCUACACUGAUGCAUUCAACGAGUCCAACCUUGACCGAGAGGUCCGGGUAAUCUUUGAAACUGCAUCGUGAUGGGGCUAGAUUAUUGCAAUUAUUAAUCUUCAACGAGGAAUGCCUAGUAAGCGUUAUUCAUCAAAUCGCGUUGAUUACGUCCCUGCCCUUUGUACACACCGCCCGUCGCUCCUACCGAUUGAGUGUGUUGGUGAGGAGUUUGGAUUGGCCUCGGAAGGUGGUUCGCCACCGUCCGUAGCUGAGAAGUUCUCCAAACCGCCCCACUUAGAGGAAGGAGAAGUCGUAACA